rnacentral:pre_miRNA from 1 species
GAGAGAAGGCGUGGGAAGGAGCGGGCUCCGGCGCUCAUCCCAGCCCCUUUUCUCCC